CAGUAGCCACGGUAAAACGAAGGGGGCUAGCGUUGCUCGGAAUUACUGGGCGUAAAGGGAGCGUAGGCGGACAUUUAAGUCAGGGGUGAAAUCCCAGAGCUCAACUCUGGAACUGCCUUUGAUACUGGGUGUCUUGAGUGUGAUAGAGGUAUGUGGAACUCCGAGUGUAGAGGUGAAAUUCGUAGAUAUUCGGAAGAACACCAGUGGCGAAGGCGACAUACUGGAUCAUUACUGACGCUGAGGCUCGAAAGCGUGGGGAGCAAACAGGAUUAGAUACCCCCGUAGUCCCUGUCUCUUAUAC
rnacentral:rRNA from 1 species